AUGCAUUUUAUUCUGCAAUGUGACACAGUCCCCACCCUCACAGUCCUGCCCCCCUCCACUCUGGAGGUGAAGCAGGGGAAGGCCACACUGGUGUGCCUGGCCAACAAGGGCUUCCCGUCAGACUGGACUCUGCGUUGGAAAGUGGACGGUACCAGUAGGAGCUCGGGCGUGGCCGGGAGCGCCGGGGUCCUGGGGAAGGACGGCCUGUACAGCUGGAGCAGCUCCCUGACUCUCAGUGCGGACGACUGGAUGAAGGCGGGGUCACUGACCUGUGAGGCCACAAAGGGCUCCCAGGCUGCCCCCCCUCAGACACUGAGGAGAGCUGACUGUGCUGAGUAG